GAGAAAUAUACCUCUGCCUUUCUUCCCAACUGUCACUCUUUGAGCUGAGCAGUUCAUAGUUGAUAUUGAGUGAGUUGUCAGCUCUCUACCCAGCGUCUUUGACAAUGGACAACCUCAAUUGUUGCUGCUGCAAUGAUGUUGCCAAGGCUGUGGUGCCAGAUUUUGUCCACCGAAACUCAAAAUCCAGUAUCUGUGCCAGUUUAGACUUGGUGAGAGAAGCAGAGACUGUACCCAGGCUCCUUAUAUCAGUCAUGGAUGUCUAAUGAAGGUCUGUCAAGUGUCAGGCUUGCCUGUGUGUGUGCAUGUGCUUGUGUGGAGGGUGAGGUUGGAGGCUGUGAUAAAUAGAAUAUGAGAGUGGGAACAGAAGAACACAUGCCAACUCCUGACCAACUAAAUGCUGCUCAAGUUGCAGUUCCCUCAAGGGCCACUAAUAAAGAACCAUCAAAAAGUAAUUGUCA
rnacentral:lncRNA from 12 species